UUUAAUGAGGUGUGAUUGCAUUUUGCAUUUUGGUUGCAGAGGUGACUAGUUGUCCAUUAAAUUUC
rnacentral:tRNA from 1 species